GGAUGUGAGACAGGUGUGUGACGGUUAUAUUGAACGUCGGGAUUUGAGACGGGUGUGUGCUGGUUAUAUUGAACGUCGGGAUGUGAGACGGGCGUGUGAUGGUUAUACUGAAUGUAGGGAUGUGAGACGGGUGUGUGAUCAUCAUUAUACUGAAUGUAGGGAUGUGAGACGGGUGUGUGCUGGUUAUAUUGAAUGUAGGGAUGUGAGACGGGCGUGUGACGGUUAUACUGAACGUCAGGAUGUGAGACAGGUGUGUGACGGUUAUAUUGAACGUCGGGAUGUGAGACGGGCGUGUGACGGUUAUACUGAACGUCGGGAUGUGAGACAGGUGUGUGACGGUUAUAUUGAACGUCGGGAUGUGAGACAGGUGUGUGCUGGUUAUAUCAUUAUAUUAGUGUUUGUGUGGGAGUGUGGUAUAGUAUCUCAGUAGCGUUGGGUCUUCACGGUGA
ensembl:lncRNA